CGGAUGGAAAGUGUUUUCCCAACCGUAAGCCUCCGGCGCUACACCUCCGCCACCUCCUACUGCUCUCCUGCUCCGCCUCGGUUUCCUCAUGCUCCCCACCUACUCUCAGAACGCUACUGGCGGCCACUGAUGCGGCGCUUUUCCGCGGCGGAGGCAAAUCUGGAUAGGAUGCCCAGAGGGACGCGCUGUGUGGCUUGGUCGCUCUUCGCCACUCCUACGGUGGCCUCGCCUGCUCACCCUGCGCGAUUCCUCCGGCAUGGUCCAGGAUCAUGUCUUGUACCAGCUUGUAUGUUCCAUGUGGUUCUGAAUGGCUUGAUUCGAGGCUUCUCUCUCUGCUCCGCAUUCCACUAUGAGAUAGCAACAGACGCGAUAUACGCAUCUCUGAUUGCAUGCAUAUCUGCCGCUGCAUCUCUUGUCAAUGUUCGGUCUCGGGGCUGUUGCUUUGAGCAGGAUAUGCCAAGCCUGAAGACAGAGACCAAACACUGCUGGAUUCUGCUAGUAACGUUAUCAUGUUGUUCAAUGUGCAGCCAGAUUGUUGGGUCAGCUAUCUCCAAGGUUCUAUCUGGAAGAACAUCCUCGGCAAACUUAUGCAGAUCUAGUGAAUUCCUGAACGUCUCGUCUGUUGGGCUCCUUCCGGUAAAAAUCUCGAGCAGCAAUAUGCCAAGACUGUAAAUAUCACCAGUAGACUUUUCCAGAGAUGUCGACCACCGGUCAGAAGUGGAUGCUAAAGGAAGAGAUAUAUGGAUCGGCCGUUAAAAUGGCAAAUAUGGUAAGAUGGUAAGUUGAUAAGUGUAAUCAUGUUUCCCUUUGUAGAAUGAUGGAUCCAUAAGUACUCUGGCCGCCCACCAUUUUGAGAAGUUGGCAUGCUUAGACCUCAAACUAAGAGACCUUGACCAUCCAUCUGCAAUGCCUGCUAAAAUAGAGGGAUAUGGAUUGGACA